UCCUGGUUAACCCAGGCAGUCUCAUUAGAGUUCCCAGCAUUACCUGUUGGCAACUAAUGAUAAGGGUUGCGCUCGUUGCGGGACUUAACCCAACACCUCACGGCACGAGCUGACGACAGCCAUGCAGCACCUGUGCAGAGGCCCCGAAGGGCUUUAACAUUUCUGCUAAAUUCCUCUGCAUGUCAAGACCAGGUAAGGUUCUUCGCGUUGCAUCGAAUUAAACCACAUGCUCCACUGCUUGUGCGGGUCCCCGUCAAUUCUUUUGAGUUUCAGCCUUGCGACUGUACUCCCCAGGCGGUAUACUUAUCGCGUUUGCUUCGACACAAUCGGGGUUGAGUCCGAUUACAUCAAGUAUACAUCGUUUAGGGCAAGGACUAC
rnacentral:misc_RNA from 1 species